UUGGAGAGGCUACUGGCAUACU
rnacentral:siRNA from 1 species